rnacentral:lncRNA from 1 species
UAAUGGUUGAAUCAUAAACCCCACCCCUGUUUUAUCGUCUCAAACACACCUUUCAUAGACCUUGUGUAAUGCCGCCCGUCGCCGCCAGCCGGAAAUCGUUGCCGCCGGCGGCCCAUAUCCAAACCAUACCAAAAUAAUACCCUAGAACCCUCUCUCUCUCCUCUUUCCAACCCCCAACUUAGUUUUUCUCGAAUCCCUCCCUAGGCCCUCGAAUCUUGAAUCGAAAUAUUCUGGCCAAGACACAACGUUGUCCAAAUCCGACCAAAUUUACACCACUGAAUUUCCUCAACUCCCUCAACCCAGAUCCAGAAUCAUUUUCCCUCAAAUAUCAGUUGAAUGUCUCGAAUAUUAAAUCAAAGGUUGGCCGGAAACCCUAAGUUCUCUGAAAUUUACCAAUUUGGUAAUAUACAGUCUCGCUAUUCUCCUCGUGAAGAAUCUACCCCUGGCGAGUUUCAAAUAUCACCAAGACCAUUCAAAUUUUGAAUCAAAUUUCAUGUCGUGAGUCCCACUAUGUUUUUUUUUUUUUUUUUUUUUUUUUUUUUUUUUUGCUUUCUGUUUUUUUUUUUUUUUUUUUUCUUUUUAAUCAAAUUUCAUGUCGUGAGUCCCACUAUGUUUUUUUUUUUUUUUUUUUUUAUUUCUUCUUCUUUGCUUUCAGUUUCUUUUUUUUUUUGUUUACUGUUAUUGUUUGUUCUCAUUUGAAAUUCUUGUGUUAGUUUUGUGGAUUCAAGAGUUCGAUUUAGGAUUAGAUUGUAUUAUUUCUCAUGUUCCUUAUCUGUUGUUCAAAUGAGUAUUUAACUACGGUAUUCUGUUUUUAUUUGCUUGUUUUUCACCUCUUUUGAUCAAUAUUUGGCGUUGGAUCGUUAAGGUAAUUAUGUUCAAACUGCACUUAAUCAUGGGAGGAAUAGCUAAAAGCAUUUUGGCAGUUUGAUUAGUUGCUUCAUGUUAAGUGGCCAUAUACAAGUGUAGUCUAUUUUAAUAAGUUUGAUCAUGUGUUUUAACCAAUUAGUCGCUACAUUCUAAUUUAGGAUUCGUGAUCAGUUUAACUUGUUCAGUUAGGAGUUUUUGUUUGAUUUUGAAUGGCUGAUUGAAGUUUUGUUUGUGUAAUCUUAGUUAUUUAAGCUGUGUGGUAAUAGUUGAUGGUGUUCUUAGUUAGUUUAAAAGAGGGCUGAGGUUAAUUGAGGUAAAUCAUUAUAUUUUAGAUAAAUAAUGGGUAGUUUGGGCAUUUCUGGCCAGAGCAUAUGUAGUAACUGAAAAUGGAAUAUUCUAGGACUUUCUAGAAGAGGAUUUAAGCUAAAAUUCAUAAAAGAAUAGGGGUAAUAACUUAGGCAACAAAUCAAUAACUAGAGGACUAACUGAAAUAAGUGAGGGACUAAUGUGUAAAAAUGAGACAUCUGAAACUGCGCCCGUUGUGCCUUGCCUUGAAUAAUAAGUUUUUGACCUCUAAAAAUUUCCCCCAAGUGCUCUUUAGUUUUCAGAUUCAGAUUUGAAAUUCAAAGUUCAAAACCCCCCAAAAGACCAUAAAAAACCAAAAACUCAAAAUUUACUGUUUCAUCGCAUAUUCUUAGAUCACUUUGAAUUUUCUUUCGAAAUCUAAGUAGUUUGAGCUAGCUGGUAGUUAAAUGGUUGACUUUGGCUAGUGUGGUACUGUUAGAAAUUGAUUUAUGCAUUUCAUGAUUGGUAUUCCUAUUUUUGGAGUAUUUCGAGUCCAUCUGAGUGUAUUUCCAGUGAUCUAUAGAAAUUGAUUUUGCUGUGUUGAUUGAUCAUCCCUUUAUUCUAUUUCAAAAUCCAGGUACACUAGUUGUAAACUUUCAUGAAAUACUAGCUCAAUUUCCUUAUGUAUUUUGUUACAUUUAUAACUUGUGUGUAGUGGUGAUCAUGUGUUAGGUAUGGUUAACAAAUAGUUUAUUAAUACUUAAUUGUUAGUUUAGAUUGAUUGGACUGUUUGAAAUAUUAAUGAGCAUGGGAUUGUGUUUGGUGGUUAUUUAAUAAUCAUGUUGGAUUUAGAUUUAAAUUUGAAUAGCUAAGGCCAGCAUUAGAGUAAAUUAAUUUAGAUUCGUUAGUAAACUAAAGACAAUAUUAUUUAGUUUUGAAAUAAUACAUGCCAUCUUUGUGUGUUGAAGGGCUCUCUCAUUUCCCAUCCUAUAUCAAUGAUUCAAAACGCUCGGAAUGGUCUUUAGGUGUGCCUUUUAAAUAAUAAAUGAGAUGAGCCUCGCCAAUGAAAUGCAUGAUUGCGGGGCUCUCAAUAAAUAUUAUAUUAAAAUACUUAAAUUUCGGGAUGGUUGUUUAGCGAAUUCCACGGCCCUCCCCAAAGAUAAUAACGUGAUAGUCUCUUUAGGAAUU